GACGAACGCUGGCGGCGUACUUAACACAUGCAAGUCGAACGGAAAGGCCCUGCUUUUGUGGGGUGCUCGAGUGGCGAACGGGUGAGUAACACGUGAGUAACCUGCCCUUGACUUUGGGAUAACUUCAGGAAACUGGGGCUAAUACCGGAUAGGAGCUCCUGCUGCAUGGUGGGGGUUGGAAAGUUUCGGCGGUUGGGGAUGGACUCGCGGCUUAUCAGCUUGUUGGUGGGGUAGUGGCUUACCAAGGCUUUGACGGGUAGCCGGCCUGAGAGGGUGACCGGCCACAUUGGGACUGAGAUACGGCCCAGACUCCUACGGGAGGCAGCAGUGGGGAAUAUUGCACAAUGGGCGGAAGCCUGAUGAAGCAACGCCGCGUGCGGGAUGACGGCCUUCGGGUUGUAAACCGCUUUCGCCUGUGACGAAGCGUGAGUGACGGUAAUGGGUAAAGAAGCACCGGCUAACUACGUG
rnacentral:rRNA from 1 species